CAACUUUAUAAACCACUUUGUAGUUUGUACUCAGUUUUGUUCAUAGAAAUAAAUAAAUAAUUCCACCAUGUGUUGCUGCUUGUUUAAAAGCCUUGCUAUAUCUUUAGUGGUGUGUAUUGUAAUACUUCUGAUUAUUGGCACAUUACUAUUAGUUUUCGGUGAGACUCUGAUUGACCUGGCGUUUGAUAAAAUUUUGGAUCACGUUUUUGGUAUGAUUCCAAAAUAAAUAAAUAAUUCCACCAUGUGUUGCUGCUUUUUUAAAAGCAUUGGUUUAUGUUUACUGAUGUGCAUUCCACUGCUUGUGACUGCUGCUGUGUUAAUAUACGUGAUUAGUCAGUUGGCUAAAUAGAAAGUACCAUGUGUGU